AUUGAACGCUGGCGGCAUGCCUUACACAUGCAAGUCGAACGGUAACAGGUCUUCGGACGCUGACGAGUGGCGAACGGGUGAGUAAUACAUCGGAACGUGCCCAGUCGUGGGGGAUAACUACUCGAAAGAGUAGCUAAUACCGCAUACGAUCUGAGGAUGAAAGCGGGGGACCUUCGGGCCUCGCGCGAUUGGAGCGGCCGAUGGCAGAUUAGGUAGUUGGUGGGAUAAAAGCUUACCAAGCCGACGAUCUGUAGCUGGUCUGAGAGGACGACCAGCCACACUGGGACUGAGACACGGCCCAGACUCCUACGGGAGGCAGCAGUGGGGAAUUUUGGACAAUGGGCGAAAGCCUGAUCCAGCAAUGCCGCGUGCAGGAUGAAGGCCUUCGGGUUGUAAACUGCUUUUGUACGGAACGAAAAAGCUCCUUCUAAUACAGGGGGCCCAUGACGGUACCGUAAGAAUAAGCACCGGCUAACUAC
rnacentral:rRNA from 1 species